UGGAUAUCAAAUAGCCAAUCGUUUUAUUUAACUGCAUAUUUCGCACUUUUACAAAGUAAUUUUUUUAAUAGGUGAUCGUUCAAAGUCAUGCAAACAAUUAACAAUUAUUCACUGAAGUGGAGGUGGAUAGUGCAAGGACAUCCGGAGUUGAGAAAGCAAUCAGAUUGCACGAAAAGCACUAUCCACCACUCGAGUAUAUGAUAUGCAUGGCUGCCAGUGGUAUAAAUGUAAAUAACUUGACUGUUUCGUACUUUACCAUGGAACAGGCAGGCUGCCUAAAGAUCAAGUAUCGGGCCGCAGAACUGGUCGCUGAAUAAUAGUUUUUGCUAAACGUUGGACGUUUCUUUUCCAGAUAGUUUGACCUCAACGAGAACUAUAGUCUUAUAACACACUUGUAUUUCCCGCUAUAGAAAUGGUUAACACACUGCACACAUAAACUAUAAGGAUGUAUCUCUACAUAUUAUAUAUUCUACAAGCAAUACAAUACAUAACUCUAUAUAGAAGUUGAUGUAUGAGAAC